UCCUGGUUCCAUAGCAGUCUGCCAGGCCCAGACUAGAACUGGAACAUUGACUCUGUGGCAUCUGGAAUUGCCAUCCUUCAAAAAUUGUGUGAAGCGAUUAUUUUAUGAACUUGUGCCUCUGAAAGUACAGCCCAGCUACCCUGAAGCAGCCAUGCCAAAAACCCUCUGGAGAAGGGGAAAAAAAAAAAAAACAAAAAGGAAAAGAAAGAUGCCUGAGGAAGGAAGGACUCUGCUAGACUCUUACUUGACUCUUCCAAUUAUCAGCUUCCUGGCAUCCACAGUGCAGAUGAAUAAAAAUCUUGAAGAAAUCCCAUAGAAGACAUUCUAUCAUUAUUAACAAAACUACUCGCUUUUCUAGGAAUAUUUUAGUAAUAGGAUUUAUUCUUGGUUUAUGACUAUUGGAAGCUAUUGGAUCCAGAGAAAUCAAAAUGAUUUGGUGGCCUUUUCUGUCUUUGGAGGACAGACCAUCUUUACAAAAUUGGGGGCGCUUAACUAUUCUGCCUCCUCUUUUAACUCAGGAACUGGUGAGUUCCCAUUCCUGUAAGAACUUCAUUGAGCCAAUGUGCUGAAUGAACUCCAGGAGAACACAGAGAAAGGCCUUGCAAACAAAUAAGAGGGUAGGAGGAAUGGCCAAGAUUUGUGAGUUAUCUAUGUUUUGUAGAAACAAUGUAAAAUGUUGACAGGGUAAAACAAUUAUUGUGAUCCUUAGUUUUAAAAUGAAGAGGACUGAGUCUUAAGAACAGAAAUGACACUUUUAAUAAGAGAAGGUGGUGGGGAAAAAAAUAGAAUCAUAUUGUACUGUCUCAAAAAUGUCGUCUUCCAUUCAGCAGAAAAGUGGGAAAGGGUAGAUAACAGAUGAGAGGUGACAGAAGUUAUUGGAAAAAUGAGAUUGUUCUAUGUUUAUAUACCUAUGAGUAAAGACUCUUCAGUAAAAUUAUAAAUAAAUAAAUACUUACUCUCUUUUGCAAAAUCUCUUGCAAUUUGUCUCUUUGCCCAAAAAUUAAGUCAAAAGAGUGAUAUUAAUUGUAGUCUGGUGAAUGGGUUCUACUUCUUAAGAGGUUUUACUGGUCAUUGGUAUGGGGGGAUGGCAUCUUCAAUAUUUAGACUAAUUGCUUCCAUAACUCAAGAAUAAACUGAAACCUUGGAAAGGACAACAUGAACCUCUUUCGAAUGUAAGGAUAGCAAAAAUACAUUGAAAAGUAUGCAGGAGGAAAGAAGUCGAAUUUGUAAAUGCCAAGAGAUAUUAAGUAAACUUUACAGCUCAGCAUUUUGUGUGUGUGUGUGUAUGUGUGUGUGUGUUGCUAAGCAUUCUACUUUGAUAUAUCCAUAAAUUUACUCAUAAAUACUGCUUUGGGUAUGGGCACUG